rnacentral:rRNA from 1 species
CGGCGUGCUUAACACAUGCAAGUCGAACGGAAAGGCCCUGCUUUUGUGGGGUGCUCGAGUGGCGAACGGGUGAGUAACACGUGAGUAACCUGCCCUUGACUUUGGGAUAACUUCAGGAAACUGGGGCUAAUACCGGAUAGGAGCUCCUGCUGCAUGGUGGGGGUUGGAAAGUUUCGGCGGUUGGGGAUGGACUCGCGGCUUAUCAGCUUGUUGGUGGGGUAGUGGCUUACCAAGGCUUUGACGGGUAGCCGGCCUGAGAGGGUGACCGGCCACAUUGGGACUGAGAUACGGCCCAGACUCCUACGGGGGGCAGCAGUGGGGAAUAUUGCACAAUGGGCGGAAGCCUGAUGCAGCAACGCCGCGUGCGGGAUGACGGCCUUCGGGUUGUAAACCGCUUUCGCCUGUGACGAAGCGUGAGUGACGGUAAUGGGUAAAGAAGCACCGGCUAACUACGUGCCAGCAGCCGCGGUGAUACGUAGGGUGCGAGCGUUGUCCGGAUUUAUUGGGCGUAAAGGGCUCGUAGGUGGUUGAUCGCGUCGGAAGUGUAAUCUUGGGGCUUAACCCUGAGCGUGCUUUCGAUACGGGUUGACUUGAGGAAGGUAGGGGAGAAUGGAAUUCCUGGUGGAGCGGUGGAAUGCGCAGAUAUCAGGAGGAACACCAGUGGCGAAGGCGGUUCUCUGGGCCUUUCCUGACGCUGAGGAGCGAAAGCGUGGGGAGCGAACAGGCUUAGAUACCCUGGUAGUCCACGCUGUAAACGGUGGGUACUAGGUGUGGGGUCCAUUCCACGGGUUCCGUGCCGUAGCUAACGCUUUAAGUACCCCGCCUGGGGAGUACGGCCGCAAGGCUAAAACUCAAAGGAAUUGACGGGGCCCCGCACAAGCGGCGGAGCAUGCGGAUUAAUUCGAUGCAACGCGUAGAACCUUACCUGGGUUUGACAUGGAUCGGGAGUGCUCAGAGAUGGGUGUGCCUCUUUUGGGGUCGGUUCACAGGUGGUGCAUGGCUGUCGUCAGCUCGUGUCGUGAGAUGUUGGGUUAAGUCCCGCAACGAGCGCAACCCUUGUUCACUGUUGCCAGCACGUUAUGGUGGGGACUCAGUGGAGACCGCCGGGGUCAACUCGGAGGAAGGUGGGGAUGACGUCAAGUCAUCAUGCCCCUUAUGUCCAGGGCUUCACGCAUGCUACAAUGGCUGGUACAGAGAGUGGCGAGCCUGUGAGGGUGAGCGAAUCUCGGAAAGCCGGUCUCAGUUCGGAUUGGGGUCUGCAACUCGACCUCAUGAAGUCGGAGUCGCUAGUAAUCGCAGAUCAGCAACGCUGCGGUGAAUACGUUCCCGGGGCUUGUACACACCGCCCGUCAAGUCAUGAAAGUUGGUAACACCCGAAGCCGGUGGCCUAACCGUUGUGGGGGAGCCGUCGAAGGUGGGACUGGUGAUUAGGACUAAGUC